rnacentral:lncRNA from 1 species
UUCCUCUUGUUUUUUUCCUAAAACCUUGCUCGUGGAUCUUCAGGGGCAGCAAGUCGUCGGUCCGGCAAGGGGAACUCCGGCGAGGCAAGGCAAGUGGGCGUCUGGCGCGGGCAGUGAAGAUUGACGCCGGCAAGGGACUUCGGCGAAGCAGGGCACCGGCAAGUGGCUCCGGCAAGGGCGGCUGCAGGCGACGCGAGGACGUGGAGCGCAGCUACUGGGCGUUACGGACGAAGGGCUGGCGAGCGACCAAGGCGAGGCGGUAGCAGCUGCAGGGGCACCUGGUCGUCGCGGGUCAGUGCGGGCUGAGCAGGGGCGGCGUUGGGCAGAUCUGCCUCGGGUCUGGUCUCGGUAGAGCUUCGGUGGGGAAAGACGCCGGCAAGGAGCUCCGGCGAAGGGGAUCAGCGGGCGGAGGCGCGAGCUGCUGGAGCGAGGCUUGCUGUCGGGCGCCGGGAACCAAGGAGGCGUGCGACGGCUCGGUGACAGGGCUGACGCUCGCAGGUGGUGCUCGCGGAGGUGUUGCUGCGGCGAGGUCCGGCAGAUUGUGGGCUUCGGGUUCCAGGCGGCGUCGGCUGAGUGGAGGCGGUGUGCAUGGACGGACGCUCCAAAAGAGGGUGAGCGGCGAGGCGCGGUAGUGUCGAGCAGAGAGGGCGUCGGAUCAAUGGCGUCCUGACUGGAACAGCAACGUGGGCAGCAAGUUGGGAAGACGAUGAACAGUAGGGGUCAAAUCACCCCUUUACUUUUCUCCUCUCUCUCUCUCUCUCUCUCUCACAUGUCACUCUCCCUCUUCCUUUACUUUUCUGCAGAAGCUUUUUGCUUUUUUCUCUUCUUUCCUUUUAACCUCCACGGAUGGCUUCUCUCCCCUUUCACUUUUUCUGAAUUUUUAAAAAAAGAAGCUCCU